rnacentral:rRNA from 1 species
CCCUUAGAUGUUCUGGGCCGCACGCGCGCUACACUGACGAAGUCAGCUAGCAUGUCCUACGCCGACAGGUGCGGGGAAUCUUGUCAAACUUCGUCGUGAUGGGGAUUGAUUAUUGAAAUUCUUGAUCAUCAACGAGGAAUUCCUAGUAAGCGCAAGUCAGCAGCUUGCGUUGAUUACGUCCCUGCCCUUUGUACACACCGCCCGUCGCUACUACCGAUUGAAUGGUUUAGUGAGAUCUUCGGAUUGGCGCCACUGCGGCUCAGCAAUGGGCUCGGUGGAUGCCGAAAAGUUGAUCAAACUUGAUCAUUUAGAGGAAGUAAAAGUCGUAACA